UACGUAGGGCGCAAGCGUUGUCCGGAUUUAUUGGGCGUAAAGAGCUCGUAGGCGGUCUGUCGCGUCGGAUGUGAAAACCCGGAACUCAACUCCGGGCCUGCAUUCGAUACGGGGCAGACUUGAGUACUGCAGGGGAGGACUGGAAUUCCUGGUGUAGCGGUGGAAUGCGCAGAUAUCAGGAGGAACACCGGUGGCGAAGGCGGGUCUCUGGGCAGAAACUGACGCUGAGGAGCGAAAGCGUGGGGAGCGAACAGG
rnacentral:rRNA from 1 species